CCUGGAUGCCCUUCAUGGAAUCAGCUGCCUUCUGGCAGCACUGUCCUUGUGCUUUGGCCUAUUUCACCUUUACCUGUCUCCAUUCUGGGCACAACAGUGGUCUGUGGAAUACACAGGAGGAGUAUUACAGGCCAUGAUUUGUCGUUGCGGCCUGUAUCGAAGAGAUGUUCUUCUUGAGCUGAAAGAACUGUCAAGCCUGGGGAGUAUAUUUUACAGCCUCGUACACAACAGGACUCACAAGCAUUAGCCCAUCAAACUCAUAAUUGUGUGAAAAAGAGCAGGAAGAGAAAAGAGGAGAAAACAGGAAAGGAAAUAAAAAGGAGGAGUAAGGAAGGAUGUGGAGACAGAUCACAGAGACAGCACCCAUGGGCAUGCAACUUUCCCAUCUCCUGUCCUCCUGCAGCAUGAUGUUGUGCCCAAAAGCACUGGAAAAGGUCUCCACCAGCCACAACAAUGUAAGAUCUUGUUAAGGGAGGCAUACCUUGCUAGUGGGAACCGGGGAUCUGACCUGAACUCCAACUUAAUGCAAGAUUUUGUCCAGCAUAUCCCAUCGAGGCCCAGGAACACAUGCUUUGCAGCAGCAGAUGUUCCAGGAAAACAACAAUUUUGAUGAAACCCAGAGAAAGAGAGCCUACCACUUUCUUUAAUAAUAUAUAAUAAUAGCAAUUAAUCUCACUGUUUAAAGGUGUAUUUUUUAUUUAAAUAUUUUUAUAGGCUUUAUUUCCUCUUUUUUGUCCGUGUUAUUAUAUUUUCAUAUCUGACCACUUCUCAUACUCAUCAGUAGGCUGACACCAUCCUGUACCAGGUUAUCAUUCUUAAUGAUAAAAUAAAUGAUUUGCCAUAAGCA
ensembl:lncRNA